GUAACAAGGUUUCCGUAGGUGAACCUGCGGAAGGAUCAUUACCGAGUGAGGGCCCUUUGGGUCCAACCUCCCACCCGUGUUUAUUUUACCUUGUUGCUUCGGCGGGCCCGCCUUUACUGGCCGCCGGGGGGCUCACGCCCCCGGGCCCGCGCCCGCCGAAGACACCCCCGAACUCUGUCUGAAGAUUGAAGUCUGAGUGAAAAUAUAAAUUAUUUAAAACUUUCAACAACGGAUCUCUUGGUUCCGGCAUCGAUGAAGAACGCAGCGAAAUGCGAUACGUAAUGUGAAUUGCAAAUUCAGUGAAUCAUCGAGUCUUUGAACGCACAUUGCGCCCCCUGGUAUUCCGGGGGGCAUGCCUGUCCGAGCGUCAUUGCUGCCCUCAAGCCCGGCUUGUGUGUUGGGCCCCGUCCUCCGAUUCCGGGGGACGGGCCCGAAAGGCAGCGGCGGCACCGCGUCCGGUCCUCGAGCGUAUGGGGCUUUGUCACCCGCUCUGUAGGCCCGGCCGGCGCUUGCCGAUCAACCCAAAUUUUUAUCCAGGUUGACCUCGGAUCAGGUAGGGAUACCCGCUGAACCUAAGCAUA
rnacentral:misc_RNA from 1 species